rnacentral:rRNA from 1 species
GGAGGCGGGUGCUAAUACAUGCAAGUCGAGCGAAUGGAUUAAGAGCUUGCUCUUAUGAAGUUAGCGGCGGACGGGUGAGUAACACGUGGGUAACCUGCCCAUAAGACUGGGAUAACUCCGGGAAACCGGGGCUAAUACCGGAUAACAUUUUGAACCGCAUGGUUCGAAAUUGAAAGGCGGCUUCGGCUGUCACUUAUGGAUGGACCCGCGUCGCAUUAGCUAGUUGGUGAGGUAACGGCUCACCAAGGCAACGAUGCGUAGCCGACCUGAGAGGGUGAUCGGCCACACUGGGACUGAGACACGGCCCAGACUCCUACGGGAGGCAGCAGUAGGGAAUCUUCCGCAAUGGACGAAAGUCUGACGGAGCAACGCCGCGUGAGUGAUGAAGGCUUUCGGGUCGUAAAACUCUGUUGUUAGGGAAGAACAAGUGCUAGUUGAAUAAGCUGGCACCUUGACGGUACCUAACCAGAAAGCCACGGCUAACUACGUGCCAGCAGCCGCGGUAAUACGUAGGUGGCAAGCGUUAUCCGGAAUUAUUGGGCGUAAAGCGCGCGCAGGUGGUUUCUUAAGUCUGAUGUGAAAGCCCACGGCUCAACCGUGGAGGGUCAUUGGAAACUGGGAGACUUGAGUGCAGAAGAGGAAAGUGGAAUUCCAUGUGUAGCGGUGAAAUGCGUAGAGAUAUGGAGGAACACCAGUGGCGAAGGCGACUUUCUGGUCUGUAACUGACACUGAGGCGCG